CCCAUUCGUAAGAAUUAAGAGCCCAGAGAGAUGAUCUGGUAGAUAGGCUGGAAGUGGAAGAGUUGCGAGACUUGGAGCGGACCAGUACUAAUCGCUCGAGGACUUUACCAAAA
rnacentral:rRNA from 1 species